CCUACGGGCGGGCAGCAGUGAGGAAUAUUGGUCAAUGGGCGCUAGCCUGAACCAGCCAAGUAGCGUGAAGGAUGACUGCCCUAUGGGGUGUAAACUUCUUUUAUAUGGGAAUAAAGUGCAGUAUGUAUACUGCUUUGCAUGUACCUUAUGAAUAAGGAUCGGCUAACUCCGUGCCAGCAGCCGCGGUAAUACGGAGGAUCCGAGCGUUAGCCGGAUUUAUUGGGUUUAAAGGGAGCGUAGGCGGGUUGUUAAGUCAGUGGUGAAAGUUUGCGGCUCAACCGUAAAAUUGCAGUUGAUACUGGCAUCCUUGAGUACAGUAGAGGUAGGCGGAAUUCGUGGUGUAGCGGUGAAAUGCUUAGAUAUCACGAAGAACUCCGAUUGCGAAGGCAGCCUGCUGGACUGUAACUGACGCUGAUGCUCGAAAGUGUGGGUAUCAAACAGGAUUAGAUACCCUAGUAGUC
rnacentral:rRNA from 1 species